UCUCUCCUUGCCCUGAAAAUUUCAGUCCUGAACCUGUCUUCACAGCUCAUCUAUGAAAGGGUACCGGGGAUAAAGACAUCACUGCCUCACACCUCAUCCGCACGGGGUUGCAGACCUGGAAAGCUGCACGUGAAGCAACAAUGAGGAUUACUGCUCCGUUGAAAGGGGGCCCAGGUCCCAUCUGGGAUGAGCCACAUGCCGCAACUAAGAGUUUGCACGAUGCCACCGGAGACCCCGCAUGCUACAAUGAAGAUGGAGGGGCCCCGUGCCGCCCCCGAGACCUGGGGACAGUUGGAUAACUAUUGUGGACUCAGCUCUGAUACCACGAGAGACUGGUGUCAAAUCGGUUUACAGCCAAUGAGAUUGGAUUCCACCAUUCUUACAAGAAACCUCCUUCAUAACCGUUUGCAGUCCAAUGUGUUCUCUUGGAUGAGAACAUAGAUGGAGUUACAGCUACUACGCUGGAAAUUCUGGGAAAAUCCUGGUAAUUUCCAUGGAGGGGUCUUCCAUAUCUGACUUACAAUAGUAAUUCAUUUUGAAUGGAUGAAUGGAUGAAUAAUGUCAACACCCAAGCAAAUAUUCCCAAAGGAACCUCAAGACCCAAUGAUGGAAUGAGGACAGCAAGAGAGAGAAAUAAAUGAGAUAUGAGGUGAAAGAGGGUCAUGAAAAAAAAAUCCCAAGAUGAUGACAAAGCAAUCCCGAGAUGACAACUGGGUACCGGUGAUGGAGAGUGAGCCGCCCGAAUAUCUCCAGUAGAAAUUUCUUCAAAAUGGUGAAACUGAUACAAUUUGUGACAUGAAUCAUUGUGUUAAGAGAACUUAGAAAAACUAGUGGAGAGUUUUGGGUUGAAAAGCGAGAAGAAAAAGAAAAACCAUAAUUCCAGGGGGAAAAAUCACUGUUCAAAUUUAAAAAAUAGUAAAUAGUUCAGCUCUGAUGGCAUAUAUUGUCAUAAAGAUGUAAACAGCAAAUUCUCUGACCAAAACUGUGAGCUUUUUAGAGAGCACUGGGGAUGAGAGAUGUUCGUGUAUGUGUUGGUUGGGGUUUGGAAAAAAGUUAAAUCUUGAUCUUCCAUUGUGAGAAAACCAGUGUUUUUCCACUUUUUCAAAUCAAGGUAUUCAUAGAAUAUGAUAUUUGUCUGGUUCAGGCUGAAUUCGAAAUAUUUUGAGUUCCAAAUGGGCCUACUUGUGAAUCAAGAUAAUUUUGUAUGGCUAGUUGAUUUUUUAAACCAUGUAAAUAAAUAACUGUGAUUAUUGAAACCAUAAAAAAAGAGGCUACUUCUACUGUGACAAGGCAAGUUAAUGUAUUAGAGGGAAAAAUCUUACAUCAAAAUAUGUUGAAUCAUCUUCCUUCUUCCCUUAUCACCCAUCAAGGGUGUGAUAGGAAGAAUUAUGGCCCCCAAGAAAAUCCCAUGGCCUAAUUUCCAGGACUAUGAAUACAAUGAAAUAUCACACCCAUGAAUAUGUUACCUUAAGUGACAGAAGGAACUUCACACAGUUACUGAGUUUACUUUACAAUAGGGAGAUUGGCCUGGCUUAUUUGAAUGGGUUCAGUGUAAUCACAGGACAUCUUAAAAGCAGAAGUAGAAAUUUGAGAAGGAUUUGACAGACCACUGCUGGCUUGAAGGUGGAAGGAGCCACAUGAGAAGAAAUGCAAGUGUCUUUUAGGAGCAGAGAGUGGCCCCUGGCAGACAGACAGCAAGGAGACAGGGACUCAUGCCUAUAGCUGCGAGUCCCUGGCUUCUUCCGCUGACAAAUGAGCUUGGAAGAAAAUCCCAAGCCUCAGAACCACAGAUCUGGCCGGAGACCCUGAGCAAGUAACCUGUGCUGCUCUUCAGUCGCUAGGUCGUGUCCGCCUCUUCACCACCCCGUGGACCGCAGCACGCCAGGCUCCUCUGUCCUUCUCUGUCUCCCGGAAUUGGCUCAAGAUUCACACUGAUAGAGUCGAUGGUGCUGUCUAAUCUGAUCUGCUACUGCUGGCUUC